CUAGUGCUUUCUCCAAUAUUUUCUUCUAUUUUACUUUCAAUUGUAUGUCGAUGCCAUUUAUCUUUCAAUAUAUAUAUAUUUGAAUGCUUGUAAGACUAUUCUUUGACACAUUUUCUCUUCCUUUGAAAUUCUUAUAGGACAGAACAUGGACACAAUGCAAUUGGGAUCAAGAAGAAGGACUGGAGACCACAGCAGCGAUUCUGCUCUUGCCCUACCUCUUCAAUGAGGACCCGAGUGGCCUUUAUGUCCGUGACAAGAUUUCACCGCUCUUCACUCCUUUACUGCACAUCGGCGGAAAUCCAUUUCACCAUGAGAGUGGCCUUUGAUGGGGGAGAACAUCCACGCCCUCGAGGACGUCCCUAUGGGACUUCUAGGGCUGUAUUUUUUAUUUUCCCUUACAUUUCCCAAAAAUGUCAGAAAAACACUUAUGUUGUUAAGUUACUGUGUUCUGGUAUAAGAGAAGUUGGGGUGAAGUUACCAGGGCCGGUCAUAAAGAUGGCAAACUUCCUAACAUAACUAUGUGGAUACGAUAUACACACUAAAGGUGAAAAAUCUGUAUUUAGCAUCAAGUCUACAAUAUUGUUAGUUUACCUAUGAUUAAUUUUUAAUGUAUGUUUUUUAUGGUACAUCAUUAUUUAUAUAUUUUUAAAUGUCAUGAAAAGCACUAAACAAAGUAAAUGUAUUAUUUAUU